CUCAGGUCUCCUCCGAGCCUUUUCUUCUCCAGGCUGAACAGCCCCAGCUCUCUCAGCCUGUCCUCGUAGGGAAUGUGUCCCAUCCCUUGGAUCAUUUUUGUGGCCCUCCUCUGGACAGGCAUCAACAGGUCCAUUUCUCUCCUGAGGAGUACUGAGGACUUCACAUCUGGAUGCAGUACUCCAGGUGAGGCCUCACCAGCACAGAGGGGCAGGAUCACCUCCCUCGCCCUGCUAGCCACACUGCUUUUGAUGCAGCCCAGGAUACGGUUGGCAUUCUGGGCUGUGAGGUCACAGUACUGGCUCACAUCCAGCUUCCCAUCCAUUGGUACCCCCAGGCCCUUUUCAACAGGGUUGUGCUCAAUUCUUUUGUCCCCCAGCUUCUAUUGACAGUGGAGGAGUGCCACAACUCAGGUUAAAGACCUUGCACUUGGAUUUAUUGAGCCUUAUGAGGUUCCCUUGGGUCCACUGCUUGAGCCUGUGUAGGUCUCUCCAGGUGGCAUUUCAUCCCUCAGGCAUGUUGCCUUAUGAUAGCUUCCAGGAGGAUCAAUUUCAUGAUGUUCCUUGGCACAGAGGUGCAGCUGACAGAUCGGCAGUUCCCCAGGAGUUGGAGGGCUGCUGAAUAAUUUCUCACUGCCUAUUAUUCAUUGUCAUCAGAGGAGCUACUCCUAAACAAAGGUCUUUAACCCUUGCGAAGUUAUCAAGCAUUUCUACUCAACAAUAUAACAAGGAACUCCUUCUGAGAAAUCCAGAACCUAGAAGGCACUGAAGACCUACAGAGAACACAAUUAUUUGUCCCUAAGCGCGUGCUUCUGCUGGCCCUUAGGGUUCUGUGGUUUUUGUUUUGUUUUAACGCCAAAAAAUGUAAAUUAGGAGCUUCUUGGAGAUGCGGCAGAAGAUAAACAAUGGGUCCGUGAUUCUCCAUUCUCUUUGGUCAGCCACCUUGCAAUUUGCAAACACACUGAAUUCUUGGUUUGGUCAUUUUUACUGAACGUUUGUAGCCAAUUCAUGAAAGCUGUUUUCAGCAAUACAUAAAUAAAAGAAAGGGAAUCAGAUUCUAAUAAUUAGAAGUUGCAUUUCAUUUCUUCUGUGUCAUAAGGAUGAGGGAAAA